rnacentral:rRNA from 1 species
GACGAACGCUGGCGGCGUGCUUAACACAUGCAAGUCGAACGGAAAGGCCUGCUUUCCCUUGUGGAUUGCGGGUACUCGAGUGGCGAACGGGUGAGUAACACGUGAGUGAUCUGCCCCCAACUUGGGUAUAAGCCUGGGAAACUGGGUCUAAUUCCCGAUAGGACUGCAGGGUGGUGCCUGUGGUGGAAAACGAUUUUCUAGUGGUUGGGGAUGAGCUCGCGGCCUAUCAGCUUGUUGGUGGGGUAAUGGCCUACCAAGGCGGCGACGGGUAGCCGGCCUGGGAGGGUGGACGGCCACAUUGGGACGGAGAUACGGCCCAGACUCCUACGGGAGGCAGCAGUGGGGAAUAUUGCACAAUGGGCGGAAGCCUGAUGCAGCGACGCCGCGUGGGGGAUGACGGCCUUCGGGUUGUAAACUCCUUUCGACCGCGAGGAAGCCACCUGGUUGGAAGGGUGGUGACGGUAGUGGUAGAAGAAGCACCGGCUAACUACGUG